rnacentral:rRNA from 1 species
AUAUCAAUAAGCGGAGGAAAAGAAACUAACAAGGAUUCCCCUAGUAACGGCGAGUGAAGCGGGAACAGCUCAAAUUUGAAAUCUCCUAGGUUCCCUAGGCGGAUUGUAGUUUAGAGAAGCGUUAUCGGUGCUGGCCUCGGUACAAGUUCUCUGGAACGAGUCAUCACAGAGGGUGAAAAUCCCGUCUAUGACCGAGAGUCCAGUGCUAUGUGAUACGUUUUCCAAGAGUCGGUUUGUUUGGGAAUGCAGACCAAAAUGGGUGGUAAAUACCAUCUAAAGCUAAAUAUUGGCGAGAGACCGAUAGCGCACAAGUA